ensembl:lncRNA
AUGAAAGGACAUUUUCAAUACCAGGGUGACACAUCUGGUUCGUGCACAUUGAAGAUCAACGGGCUACUUGACUCUGACCAAGCAGGGUACUUUGUUGCAUUAAAGACAGACAAAGAUGAUUUCAUUUCACCACAUAUUACUUUGACCGUUCAAGGUAGGCUACAUGCUGCUUGCUGUUGGUAUUUUAUAAAUGCUAUGUUAUUUUAUGAUGAUUUGUUAAAUAGCAGGCCUGCACCUUCUGUUCCUUCACUAGACCCAGGGAUCACUGCCGUUGUACCGACCGUUGUUAAAGAGAGGGACAUGGUGAGUCUGAUCUGCAAGACAAAAUGUAUUGGCUCUCCCCCGGCCAACAUGGUAGUGUGGUCACGAGAUGGAAAAGCAGUGGCCAGUCCAACGUUCCGGGCCGGGCUGGACGAUGCAGGGAGUUACCAGUGUGCCUGGGAGGGACUGCAGUCCAACACAGUAACCCUCGAUGUUCAAUACUUUCCACGGAACACAACGGUGUGGGUCGAACCCCAAGGAGAGCUGUUGAAAGGCAAUAGCGUGAACCUGACCUGCAGCAGUGCUGCCAACCCACCAAUACACAACUACACCUGGUGGUGGUACAGUGGUACUGCACCACUGAGAGAAGAGAGAGAGAGAGAGAGAGAGAGAGAGAGAGAGAGAGAGAGAGAGAGAGAGAGAGAGAGAGAGAGAGAGAGAGAGAGAGAGGGGGAGGGAUGGAGAGAGAGAGAGAGAGAGAGAGAGAGAGAGAGAGAGAGAGAGAGAGAGAGAGAGAGAGAGAGAGAGAGAGGUCCUUCCGAUAGAGGGACAUCCGAUUUGGUUACAUGUUUUGAUGUUUCGGUUACGUGUAGACAACCGAACCUCAACAAGGUAAGCUGAUAAAAUUGCGCACACUAAAAUAAACAUUGUGUGAAGUAAAUACUAAGACUGAGUAUUGGGGCCACACUUGAAGAAAAAAAAUAUUUUUGCCGUGACGAGAUUAAAGUCGACACGUCGACUAGUAAAUUAACACGUCUGUUCAGGUCCUCCUCCUGAACAGACGAAUUUUUCCGCACAACCUUUUCAGCGUCCUUACACUAAUUACCACACUGUGGCUCUGCGCGAAAACAGUGAGGAUCUCUUUAUUGUUAAACCCGAUUCUGAAAUACAAUUUUACCAAAUUAUCCACACAAGCCAUUGGAUUCAGUGCAGUCGCUGUGGAGCGGUUGCUAUCUCUCACAACUAUUUUCAACAGUAUCCUAGACAUUUUGAGUUGAAUGUCAACUUUAAAGUCGACAAAUCGAGAUUAAAGUCGACAUAAUAUUUCAACUUUAUUCUCGACAUUUCGAGUUUAAUGUCCUCAUGUUGACUUUAAAGUCGACGUGUUGACUUUAAUCUCGUCACGGCAAAAAAAAAAAAAUCUUCAUGUGUGGCCCUAAUAUUCAGUCGUAAAAUACGCAACCAUUCUGUUCAAUUCAGAUUGACAAGAUUAUAUCCUAUCAACUGCUAGAUUAAGUUUGUGGUCUGUCCCUUGACACGGCCCUGGUCCAUAGCAGUAAUCCCACCCUACAAAUGACUACCAUUGCUUACGAUUGUUCCUUUCUAACUAUCUUUCAGCAGGCAGAGCAUCUAUAUUCAUCAGAUCUGGAGUAGUAGUCACUGUCCUUGUGGCACUCACUGUGCUGGUUUGCUUUUGUUCACGGUGAGUCUAUCAGACCAAUGAAGGAAGAAUAAACAGUUCUUGGUGAGAUUGAAGGAACAGCCUCGUAGACUGUGGCUAAACGCUGCUUAUUACAAUUGUGGCUACUGUGUAGGGCUGAGGGAAAGGACUGGUCAGGUAGACAAAUGCAACUCCAAUAACGUGUUAUAGCAUCACUGAUGGUGAUAGUACUGCAGUCCAAUGUGCAAUAGUUGCUUGCCCGUUAUUUAAUUUAAUCUAAAUUAAAAUGAUUUCUCUGAGGAAUUUUUAUUUUCAUGAAAAGCUGAAACCGUCAUUCAGUAAUUAUUCCGUGUUGAUUACGGCCUCUGCUUUUUCUCAACAUUUGAACAGGAAACAACCAAAGACCAAGGAAAACCAACACGUGAGUGCAUAUAAAGUGUAACUUUGUCUUUGUAUACCCACAAAUCACACUUUAGGUUAUUAAUCUAAAGUAUGAUGGACAAGCCCCAGUCUGAGUGAAUGGGGCUUUUCACCGUCUUUCACUUCAUAUUUGUUUCAAUUAUUACACUGUAAAAAAUAAAAAGUUGAGAAAACUCAAAAUUGCAAGGCAACUUACUGCAAUCAAUUUUUGAGUUUUGAGCCCAACAAAAUGUCAUUUUUCUUCUUUAGACAAACGUGAAAGUUAGAGUUAUACCAACCAAGAUUUUAUGUUUUACAAAACUCAAAAAAGUAGGUCAGGGGUUUUAACUUAAUAUUUCAAAUUAAGGUUAAUAUUAUGUUUCAAAUUAAGGUUAAUAUUAUUUAAUAAAAAACAUUUCAAAGAAUGCAAAACUAGUUUUAAGUUCACUUUAUUAAAAUUAAUAAUUGGAAACUUCCAUUGAACAUUUCUGAAUGCCAGACAGCAACAGAACAAGCAACAUGUAGCUACUUCAGCAGCAGAGAAUCGCAGUCUAAAUGCAGCAAACCAAAAAGCAGAACAAGUUCGACAUUAUGGUCAAACUUCUUCUGCACGAUACGGGAGCCCAGGUUAAAUG